rnacentral:rRNA from 1 species
UACGUAGGGUGCGAGCGUUACUCGGAAUUACUGGGCGUAAAGCGUGCGCAGGCGGUUUUGUAAGCCAGAUGUGAAAUCCCCGGGCUUAACCUGGGAAUGGCAUUUGGGACUGCAAGGCUCGAGUGUGGCAGAGGAGACUGGAAUUCCUGGUGUAGCAGUGAAAUGCGUAGAUAUCAGGAGGAACACCGAUGGCGAAGGCAGGUCUCUGGGCUAACACUGACGCUCAUGCACGAAAGCGUGGGGAGCAAACAGG